rnacentral:lncRNA from 1 species
AACACGAAUGCGCGGGAGCCCCGCCUCCGUAGUCUUCGCUCCGCUGUCAAGAUAAGUUGUCGCCGAGUAUAGUGUGUUGUUGCAAACACUUUGUCUUCCACA